rnacentral:lncRNA from 1 species
GUUUGAUACCGAUUAAAGAGUCUGAUACCGAUUAAAGGGUUUGAUACCGAUUAAAGAGUUUGAUACCGAUUAAAGGGUCUGAUACCGAUUAAAGGGUUUGAUACCGAUUAAAGAGUUUGAUACCGAUUAAAGGGUCUGAUACCGAUUAAAGGGUUUGAUACCGAUCAUGAUACCGAUCAAAUGGUAAAAUGUCCUAAUUUAAACAUUGCAUUCUGAUUUUCUUUAUAUUUAUUUACAUUUUACACUUUUUUGACUUGUUUUAUUGUUGUGUUUGUAGUUUUAGUGAGUCCAGGCCUGUUUUUAAGUGUGAAUAGUAGAUUUUUGGGUUGGAUUCAGCUCAGGACAGCACCGUGUUUCCAGUUUAACGGCGUCUGGAGACGGAUUCGUCCCCGGGGAGGAGUGAAGCCCGGUGACAGAUAUGAGCACUAAUGAGGAGAGUGUGCGUCAUCGUUCACACUCUGCAGAACGCCGUUCACCACGGACGCUUCCACCACUGCAUUAUGGCGUCCUCUGCUUUAUCCCUCUCCCUCCUGCUCCCUCUCUUCCCAUCUGCCACCUCAGAGAUCCAGAAAUCCGAGGAGGCUCUCCUCUCCGUCACAUUACGUUACUCAGAGACGGGUCUGACUUCUGGAGAUAACCGGCCAAUCAGGAGCACCGGCUCGGCUCACGGUCUCGCGCUGUACCGACACUAUAGCACGACUUUAACCACGGUUCAUUUUUAUUAUUAUAAUAGUUUAUCUCUUUAUAUAGCUCUAUCCAGGCGGUGAGCUAACGGAGAGCUAGCGGUGGUGCCAACUGAACUAAACUGUAUAGUGGGCGGGGUUAAUGAUGUUGAGACCUGGUGAUUGGCUAGACGGGCCUUGCUAAUGCUGUGGUAGUAGCUAGUGUGAGGCUGAGAUGAGGCUGGUAGCCAGCGUGCUAACAAUAGCUAAAUGAAAAUUAAACAUUGUUCUACUAUCAGAAGAGAGAGAUAUAAACCAAACACACAGAGCUUAUCUUUCUUAACAAAGAAAAAGUUUUAAGUAGUCAGUAAACAGAGAUGUAUAUGAAUGGAAACCAGACAAAACUGCAGAUAAAAGUCCUAUCUGGACGGGAUUAGUUUCUCAGGGGGUUCUGGGUAAUUUUCUUUUUUAUGUUUUUUUUUUUAUCCUCUGUGGUUUUAUUACCGUCCAGAACGAUCAUGUACGUGUUUUUCUCAGACGUCCUCUGAGAAGAAAAUUACAGGCUGUUUUAUCGAUACCACUUUAAAAUAAGACUUCCUGUAUAAAGCAUUUAUAAAUGGUUUAUAUAUUAUAUUAUUA